rnacentral:rRNA from 1 species
CCGGAUUUUAUUGGGUUUAAAGGGUGCGCAGGCGCGCGUUAAGCCAGCGGUGAAAUCUCCCGGCUCAACCGGGGAACUGCCAUUGAUACUGGCGUGCUAGAGUACGGACGGCGCCGGCGGAAUGUGUCAUGUAGCGGUGAAAUGCUUAGAUAUGCCACAGAACACCGAUCGCGAAGGCAGCUGGCGAGGCCGGUACUGACGCUCAGGCACGAAAGCGUGGGGAUCAAACAGGAUUAGAUACCCUGGUAGUCCACGCAGUAAACGAUGAUAACUUGUUGUCGGCGAUAGAAUGUCGGUGACAAAGCGAAAGCGAUAAGUUAUCCACCUGGGGAGUACGAUCGCAAGGUUGAAACUCAAAGGAAUUGACGGGGGCCCGCACAAGCGGAGGAGCAUGUGGUUUAAUUCGAUGAUACGCGAGGAACCUUACCUGGACUCAAAUGUUGAGCGACCGGACCAGAAAUGGUUCUUCCCUUCGGGGCGCUCAGCAAGGUGCUGCAUGGUUGUCGUCAGCUCGUGCCGUGAGGUGUCAGGUUAAGUCCUAUAACGAGCGCAACCCCUACGUCCAGUUGCCAGCGGGUGAUGCCGGGGACUCUGGAGGAACUGCCCACGCAAGUGGAGAGGAAGGUGGGGAUGACGUCAAAUCAGCACGGCCCUUACGUCCAGGGCGACACACGUGCUACAAUGGCCGGUACAGAGGGCAGCCACCUGGUGACAGGGAGCGAAUCUCGAAAGCCGGUCUCAGUUCGGAUCGGAGUCUGCAACUCGACUCCGUGAAGUUGGAUUCGCUAGUAAUCGCGCAUCAGCCAUGGCGCGGUGAAUACGUUCCCGGGCCUUGUACACACCGCCCGUCAAGCCAUGAAAGUCUGGGGUACCUGAAGUCCGUGACCGAGAGGAGCGGCCUAGGGUAAAACAGGUGAUUGGGGCUAAGUCGUAACAAGGUAACCCGGGCGGCCGCUC